GAGUUUGAUCAUGGCUCAGAUUGAACGCUGGCGGUAGGCUUAACACAUGCAAGUCGUGCGAGAAAGUAUCUUCGGAUAUGAGUAGAGCGGCGGACGGGUGAGUAACGCGUAGGAAUCUACCUAGUAGAAGGGGAUAGCCCGGGGAAACUCGGAUUAAUACCGUAUACCUCCUUCGGGAGAAAGAAGGCCUCUCAUUGAAGCUUUCGCUACUAGAUGAGCCUGCGUAAGAUUAGCUUGUUGGUGAGGUAAAAGCUCACCAAGGCGACGAUCUUUAGCGGGUCUGAGAGGACGAUCCGCCACAUUGGGACUGAGACACGGCCCAGACUCCUACGGGAGGCAGCAGUGGGGAAUAUUGGACAAUGGGCGCAAGCCUGAUCCAGCCAUACCGCGUGUGUGAAGAAGGCCCUAGGGUUGUAAAGCACUUUAAGUUGGGAAGAAAAGUUAUUGGUUAAUACCCAAUAGCCGUGACAUUACCAUCAGAAUAAGGACCGGCUAAUUCUGUGCCAGCAGCCGCGGUAAUACGGAAGGUCCAAGCGUUAAUCGGAAUUACUGGGCGUAAAGCGCGCGUAGGUGGUUUAUUAAGUUGGAUGUGAAAUCCCCGGGCUCAACCUGGGAACUGCAUCCAAAACUGAUUCACUAGAGUACGAUAGAGGGAGGUAGAAUUCACAGUGUAGCGGUGGAAUGCGUAGAUAUUGUGAAGAAUACCAAUGGCGAAGGCAGCCUCCUGGAUCUGUACUGACACUGAGGUGCGAAAGCGUGGGUAGCGAACAGGAUUAGAUACCCUGGUAGUCCACGCCGUAAACGAUGUCAACUAGCUGUUGGGGAACUAUGUUCUUCAGUGGCGCAGCUAACGUAGUAAGUU
rnacentral:rRNA from 1 species